rnacentral:ncRNA from 1 species
UGUCUGAAUUUGUGAUCGGAGCAGGGCAUAUUUUUGUCACAAAGGAGCAUAAAAAAAUGGCAUUAAGUGCUGAACAGAAAGCUAAGAUUGUUGCUGAGUAUGGCCGUGGUGA